rnacentral:misc_RNA from 1 species
GUGAAUCAUCGAAUUUUUGAACGCAAAUUGCACUCUCUGGUAUUCCGGAGAGUAUGCCUGUUUGAGGGUCAGUUUAAAUAAAAAUCGGUGUGGUUGCUGCCUUUCGUGGUGACGCACCGGAUUGGGUUCGCUUGGCUUUGGGUAAGGUGACUUAAAAUUUUCAAGGUUUUUUUGAAAGGAUUUUAAUGGUUUUAAGGUAGUUUUCCAUA